rnacentral:rRNA from 1 species
UACGUAGGGGGCAAGCGUUGUCCGGAUUUAUUGGGCGUAAAGAGCGUGUAGGCGGCCUGACAGGUCUGCUGUGAAAACUCGAGGCUCAACCUCGAGAUGUCGGCGGAAACCGUCUGGCUAGAGUCCGGAAGAGGAGAGUGGAAUUCCUGGUGUAGCGGUGAAAUGCGUAGAGAUCAUGAGGAAGACCAGUGGCGAAGGCGGGUCUCUGGACAGUUCCUGACACUGAGGCACGAAGGCCAGGGGAGCAAACGGG